rnacentral:lncRNA from 1 species
CCAAUUUUCCAAAAUCAACGGCUGAUCAUGGAGGAAUCAAGUGGGUUUGAUCAUUCGGCUAAACCGCUAUCAAUUUGAAGUGUGGAAGAUGGCGCGGUAACGAAAACACCCAGUUCCUGCUUCCCCAGCGUACUGCACGGCUUGCCAGCCUCCGGGGAUCGGUCACCUCAAGAUCAACACAGAUUUUGCAACCUUCUCUCCGAGCAGAAUUUGCGGCACGAGCCUUAUCCUCCGCGACUUCACAGGCCGGUACUUGGAUUCCAAACCUGUACUUUUCCUCGACGGCUGCCUCCCGUUGAAGAAGAGCUCUCUGCUCUCUUGCUCGCCAUGAAUUGGACUCGCACAAAGGGUCUCUCUCGAGUCACUUUUGAAACGGACAGCCUGGUUGCCUGCAACACGAUUCGAAACAUUGAGCAUUAAUUAAACUCAACAGCACCUUUUUUAAAAAAAUCCGCAGCCGUUGAUAUUCUGAGAUGUAAUCUGGGCCGUCGCUAAAGUGUCCGCCAGGGCAGAACAUUUAACGCGCCAGCACCCAGUCCAAAUUGCGUUUCCUGCUUGUUGUAGAUGUGACAGCAUAAAACUUCCCUUCCCUCUGAUUUUUCUGAGUCUUUCAGAAUCACCUGCUCUGCAUCUGAAAUUUUGUUUCCAUGGCUCCC